CAGAGAGAGACAUGCGCGCAUAUCAAUAAGCGGAGGAAAAGAAACUAAUAAGGAUUCCCUAGUAACGGCGAGUGAAGCGGGAAGAGCUCAAAUUUGAAAUCUUAAAGGGUUUCCCUUUACGAAUUGUAGUUUAAAGAAAUGUUUUCUGUUGAGGUUUUGGUAAAAGUUCUUUGGAAUAGGACAUCAUAGAGGGUGAGAAUCCCGUAUUUGACCUUUACUUUCAACUUUGUGAUACACUUUCAAAGAGUCGGAUUGUUUGGGAAUGCAGUCCAAAAUGGGUGGUAAAUUUCAUCUAAAGCUAAAUAUUGGCGAGAGACCGAUAGCGAACAAGUACCGUGAGGGAAAGAUGAAAAGAACUUUGAAAAGAGAGUUAAACAGUACGUGAAAUUGUCAAAAGGGAAGCGUUUGACACCAGUGUUGUUUUUCUGAAAAUCAAUUAAAGAACUGUUUAUGCUAAGUUGUUUAGACUUUAUCAGCUAUCUGUUUAGUUUUGAGCUUUUCUUUAAUGCACUUUUCAGUUAACAAGUCAACAUCAAUUUCUUUUGCUGUAAAAAAGCUUGAGGAAGGUGGCUUGAGAUUCGUCUUAAGUGUUUAUAGCCUCUUGCCUAUGCAGUCGGAGAGAUCGAGGUCUGCAGCGUAGAUCCUUCGGGGCUAAAUGCAUUUGUGCUAAGUUAUAGCAUUUUAUAGACAACUUGUUGACUAUGAUUUGUCUUGUAGCUUACUCGCUUAUGUUAUUUUACCUACGCUUAGGAUGUUGAGCGCAUGUCUCUCUCU
rnacentral:rRNA from 1 species